rnacentral:rRNA from 1 species
GACGAACGCUGGCGGCGUGCCUAAUACAUGCAAGUCGAGCGAGCGGAACUAACAGAUUUACUUCGGUAAUGACGUUAGGAAAGCGAGCGGCGGAUGGGUGAGUAACACGUGGGGAACCUGCCCCAUAGUUUGGGAUACCACUUGGAAACAGGUGCUAAUACCGGAUAAGAAAGCAGAUCGCAUGAUCAGCUUUUAAAAGGCGGCGUAAGCUGUCGCUAUGGGAUGGCCCCGCGGUGCAUUAGCUAGUUGGUAAGGUAAAGGCUUACCAAGGCGAUGAUGCAUAGCCGAGUCGAGAGACUGAUCGGCCACAUUGGGACUGAGACACGGCCCAAACUCCUACGGGAGGCAGCAGUAGGGAAUCUUCCACAAUGGACGCAAGUCUGAUGGAGCAACGCCGCGUGAGUGAAGAAGGUUUUCGGAUCGUAAAGCUCUGUUGUUGGUGAAGAAGGAUAGAGGUAGUAACUGGCCUUUAUUUGACGGUAAUCAACCAGAAAGUCACAGCUAACUACGUG